UCUGCGUCGUUUCAGACCGGGCAGGUCGGUUUCACUGAGGGAAUUUCAGAGGCUUGGCGACGAAUGCUAUGUGGGUUUAAAUGCUGUUUGUGUGAAUUACACAAUAAAAACAUGUAUCCGUCCACAAAAAGAGCUUUUUCUUCCUCUUGCACCCAACACUGUGUCACUCGCCCUGUCUCAGAGCAGCGCAGAGCCACAACCCAUGAUUAUAAUGGCCUCUCGAGGGCGCGAGAGUGCCAACACCACACAAUGCCCACCGCGAGCCCCCCUCCCGCCAGUGGUUCUAGCCUCGCAGGGACGGGGCGCCGGUCAAAACACACCAUCAGUGGUUACGGUGGCCGUAGAGCUAACGCGUCCGCUGUGUCACUUCCUGGACGCGUGGAGAGCUAUCCCGGGCGUUUCACCGUGGAUACUGGGAAUUAUUCAGCACGGAUAUUCUCUUCAGUUCAAACGCAGACCUCCCCGCUUCAAUGGCGUGGUCCCGUCACUGACUUUGCCCAAAAACCUUCCCGUUCUGAGACAGGAAGUUCUCAGUCUGCUCGAGAAAGGAGCGAUAGAGCGCGUCCCUCCGAACGAGCAGGAAAGCGGCUUCUACAGCCGCUACUUUGUGGUGCCAAAGAAAGAUGGUGGACUCCGUCCGAUUCUGGAUCUGAGACCCAUCAACCGAGCACUUCACAAGCGCGCGUUCAGAAUGACAACGCUGAAACAGAUCUGGGCACAGAUACGGCCCGGGGUCUGGUUCGCCUCAGUGGAUCUAAAAGACGCAUACUUCCAUAUUCAAAUAGCGACGCGCCACAGGCGCUUCCUGAGGUUUGCUUUAGAAGGCACGGCUUAUCAGUAUUCAGUGCUCCCGUUCGGCCUCGCCCUCGCCCCCCGCACAUUUUCAAAGUGUGUGGACGCAGCGCUUUCUCCCCUCAGAUCGAGCGGAAUGCGCAUCUUGAAUUAUCUGGACGAUUGGCUGAUUUUAGCCCACUCAAGGGAUGUGCUAAUCAGUCACGUGGAAACACUGCUUCGCCAUUUGGAUACGCUGGGACUGCGUGUGAAUAUGCAGAAGAGCGUGUUUUUACCGAGCCGGACUAUAACAUAUCUGGGAGUAUGUUUGGACUCGAUGGCGAUGCGAGCUCAUCUCUCUCAAGAGCGAAUAGAGGCAAUUUCAUCGACUCUGCGUCGUUUCAGACCGGGCAGGUCGGUUUCACUGAGGGAAUUUCAGAGGCUUUUGGGACUGAUGGCGGCGGCUUCUUCAGUGUGCCAUCUGGGUCUGCUGCAUAUGCGGCCGCUACAGUUUUGGCUGAAGACCCGAGUUCCGCCGAGGGCGUGGUAUUCAGGCCACAAGCGCAUUACGGUCACUCACAGUUGCGUCAGCACUCUGAGACCGUGGAGCAGCCCGGAUAUGUUCAGCCCAGGAGUUCCUUUGGGUAUAGUGACGCAGCGCACCGUGGUCUCGACGGACGCGUCGACAGCAGGCUGGGGAGCAGUAUGCCUGGGCGUUCCUGCCUCAGGCCUGUGGUCGGAGUCACAGAGAAGGUGAAGCGCAUUGGAGACUUACACGCGUUUUCGGUGAACAACGAUUGCAUCUGUUUCGGACCUGGCGACUGUAAUGUCACUCUCCGGCCGAGACCAGGUUACGUGCCGAAGUCACUCAAUACACCGUUCAGAGCACAGGUUGUUUCCCUGCCCGCCUUAUCUGCUGAGCCGCCAGCCUCGCGUGACGCUGAUGCUCAGAGCACUGUCUGCCCUGUUAGGGCUUUGCGGACAUAUGUGGAUCGCUCGGCCGCCUUUCGUCAGUCGGACCAGCUGUUCGUGUGCUUUGGUGGAUGUAAUAAGGGACGUGCUGUUUCAAAACAGAGACUUUCUCACUGGAUUGUGGACGCUAUUACGUUGGCUUACGAAUGCCAGGGGAAAGAUUGUCCCCUCAACAUCAAAGCUCAUUCCGUGAGGGCAAUUGCUUCCUCAUGGGCCUGGGCUAGAGGUAUGUCUAUCCAGGAUUUAUGUCUUGCUGCUGGCUGGUCUUCCCAGAACACAUUCACCAGGUUUUACAAGCUGGAUGUACCCUUUGUAGCAUCACAUGUAUUUUCAGUGAGCUAAGUUUCAUUCAUGUGUUGUGAACUGUUAUAACCAGCUAUACAGUAUAGCUGCUAACCCUGUGCUGUGUCUGCCCUGUUCAGUGCAGCCUUCGUGUUCAUUGCAUGAAGAUAUGCAAAUUUUGUUAGGGUCGGAGCAGAUGUUUCAUUGGUCUAGUUCUUUAGAAAACGCCUCCGGUUACUAUCGUAACCUCGGUUCCCUGAGAGGCGGGAACGAGACAUUACGUUAGCCGCUGUGGUUGCUGUUUGAUCAGCUGUGCUAGCGUUCAGUCGUGAUUCUGCCGUAAUUUUCGCGCCCAUGCAUUUUAUACUGCCCGGUGACGUGUCAGUAUUUGCAUGCUUCGCGUCAAUUGGCCAGCUGUCCCCAGCUGGCGUUAGCCCAUAAGAUUUCAGCGAAACUGGAUAAGGGAGGAGUUCCCAUAUAAUUCUUAGCUGACGUAAUGUCUCGUUCCCGCCUCUCAAGGAACCGAGGUUACGAUAGUAACCGGAGGCGGUUUACACACUAUCACAGCAGUGAAAAUUCACAACAAAUGCUCUAAUUUGCUAUAUUUUUACAGUACAAUUGUACGUAUUGAUUUACAGUAGUCUUGUAAAUUUAAAGUCUUGCUGGUCAGUAAGUUACUGUAAAUUUUACAGUAUUUUUAUUAUUUUAAUUUUUUUACAGCAUCAGAGGUGCAUAGGUUAUUUCACUCUUUUGUCAAAGUCUCGUGACUUCUGAGUUACCAUACCUUGACUGUUAGACUGCAUCCGGAGCAUUAUCCCUCAAAUAAAAUUUUAUUUCCUCUGUUCA
ensembl:lncRNA